rnacentral:tRNA from 1 species
UAGGAAAUGGUAUAAUAGGAAAUACAUAGAGUUUUGAUCUCUAAGAUAUGGGUUCGAAGCCCUAUUUUUCUAG